CCUACGGGGGACUGCAGUGAGGAAUAUUGGUCAAUGGGCGGAAGCCUGAACCAGCCAAGUCGCGUGAGGGAUUAAGGCCCUGCGGGUCGUAAACCUCUUUUGCCGGGGAGCAGUGGUCCGGACGAGACCGGGCCGGGAGAGUACCCGGAGAAAAAGCAUCGGCUAACUCCGUGCCAGCAGCCGCGGUAAUACGGAGGAUGCGAGCGUUAUCCGGAUUUAUUGGGUUUAAAGGGUGCGUAGGCGGGCAUUUAAGCCGGCGGUCAAAUGUCGGGGCUCAACCCCGGCCUGCCGUCGGAACUGGGUGCCUUGAGUGGGCGAGAAGUAUGCGGAAUGCGUGGUGUAGCGGUGAAAUGCAUAGAUAUCACGCAGAACCCCGAUUGCGAAGGCAGCAUACCGGCGCCCGACUGACGCUGAGGCACGAAAGUGCGGGUAUCGAACAGGAUUAGAUACCCUGGUAGUC
rnacentral:rRNA from 1 species